rnacentral:rRNA from 1 species
AUUGAACGCUGGCGGCAGGCUUAACACAUGCAAGUCGAGCGGAGAUGAGGUGCUUGCACCUUAUCUUAGCGGCGGACGGGUGAGUAAUGCUUAGGAAUCUGCCUAUUAGUGGGGGACAACAUUCCGAAAGGAAUGCUAAUACCGCAUACGCCCUACGGGGGAAAGCAGGGGAUCUUCGGACCUUGCGCUAAUAGAUGAGCCUAGGUCGGAUUAGCUAGUUGGUGGGGUAAAGGCCUACCAAGGCGACGAUCUGUAGCGGGUCUGAGAGGAUGAUCCGACCAACUGGGACUGAGACACGGCCCAGACUCCUACGGGAGGCAGCAGUGGGGAAUAUUGGACAAUGGGCGGAAGCCUGAUCCAGCCAUGCCGCGUGUGUGAAGAAGGCCUUUUGGUUGUAAAGCACUUUAAGCGAGGAGGAGGCUACCUGGAUUAAUACUCUAGGAUAGUGGACGUUACUCGCAGAAUAAGCACCGGCUAACUCUGUGCCAGCAGCCGCCGUAA